CAGCCUUAAAAUGCACAAAAAAUAAAGGCCCAGCCUCAACUGAAAGUUAGACGUUCUUAUAAAAAAAGAGUGUAUUUGGCAUUGGUAAUUGCAGUCGGGCAACAUCUAGCUUAGCAUACAAAGAAUGAUUCCACUAGAUGGUUAUUGAAUUGAACGAGGGAUGGAAAUCUAAGCUUUCCUAAGGUAAUAGUAUUCGCUAAUGAGUAUCAAAGCACAUAAAGAAUGAUUUCGCAAAUACCACUAGAUGGUUAUUGAAGAGUAUGACGGAUGAAAAGGCAUAAGUAGACAUUGUUAAUAACUUCCGGAUCUUGAUGGGUGUCAAUACUAUGCAAUUGAAUUGAAGAAAAAAAAAAACAACACAAUAGUUUAAUAGUACUUUGGUCAGGGAAAAUAUAACAACGCGUUCCUUAUUUUUUGGCGUAUGAGACAGGUGGAAAUCCAAAAAGGUGUGUGAAAUGUGAAAUUAAAAAGAACGAGAGUUUAAUUAAGAAUGGGAAUCAGUCGUUUUGAGUUUAGGUGUGAUUAAUCACGGAGCUAGUAUGAGAUGUAUUCGUAACAGUACAAAAGCUGCGAAUCACUUUGAGUCCAGCAUUAGUGUACGCGCCGCCAAAACAUAGUUCCACCCAUAGUCACACGCUUAUCGCAAUUAGAAGCAGCUCUACUCUGAUUGGUCGGCGCACCUGAUGUAUUCAUACGCAUUCCGUAAUCAUAUUAUUUACAAUCUUUGGGGUCGUGACCACAUACGCAUUCGCUCAGGAACGCAGAAAGGGAAAAUCUCACUCGAGUCCAGCACCGAUAGGAAAAUACCACCUCAAGUUAAGAAGGGGAAAAAUAACCCCUCGCCCUAGCUUGAGUAGCGGUGUAGAUGUGAAUUCCAGGAAGGUCGACCACAGAUGUGGUUUAUGGAAGCGACGAAAAAAAACGGAAACCUUCAACCUUUGUAUUAGUGAAUAGGUGCUGGAUUUGUGGGGAACUAUGUUAAGCAAAACAAUGCCUCAGCUGCUCCUCCUGGAAGAAGCGACUUGACGAAGAUUCCUCCAAGAUCAUGCCCUCCCUGGGACAGAAAACAACGUAAUAUUAGAUCAAAUUGCACAGAAAGUAGGUAAAAUUAGAUGGUACGAGCUUUAUAGACAGUGCAUCGUUUUGGUACUAAUGAUACUGUGAGAAAGAAGCAGUAAAGCACAGUUCAAGUUAGCUAUGUGCUGUGAAAGGUACCAAAAACGAUGCACCCGACUAUUUGUGGGUACUAAACGCGCGGUUGAUCUAGAAAUAGGGGAAAGUGUUUCCGUGGGUUAAUAUUGAGAUGACUUUUGGCAACGAGUUCUGCAUUACCUUAAGGGUUUUAGAUUCUCGGUUUUAGAUUCUAGACUUUUAAUUAUUUAAUCCAGAAAGUGAAAGAAGUUUAAUUUGGCCCAGUUUAUUCAAUAACGCAACAUAAAAAAUAUCAUACAGAGGUUUUAACUUUAAGAGCACAUCUUUACUUGAUGAAAGUAGUUUUGUUGGUUUCAGAGUUUAAAACGUCUAUGUUGAUCUAAGUUGGAAGUAAUAACCAAAAAACAACGUUUUUCCGGAUAUUAGGUGACUAUUUGCGUUUUGCUGACUUAACUGCUGACAAAGUUUCAUGGCCGUGAUAAAAUCUCGUAAUUAGCACCAAUCUGCUGGGCAGGCUCUUCUACAAACGAUACUCCCACAAAACAAGACCAACAUAAAUGCCUCCAUAUUUAUUGUUCUCAAAUUUCAUUUUGUAAUCGAGCAGACAUAAUGGAGCCUUUGUCACUUUUUAAAUUGAAAUGGGAAGCUUAUAAGAUGACAACUUCUAAUUUUAACUUCUAUUCAUAAAAGAAAAGUCGGCUGAUUGAGUUUCGGGAUAUGGGCAGAACAGGGUGUUCGUAAUAAGUUUGUGCUUAUUGGAAGUUUACAUUGUGUCACUGUGAGUUGACAAUUGAGGAAAAGUCGAUGUUUGCACAAUCUUUGCGCAAUAAUCUUAGUAACUGAAAAACUGUACGUUAGAAAAAGUUCUAUAAACCGUUGGAUCUCGAUCCGUCAAGACGAGGUACACGAACACGAGAGAUACACACACCUUGGAGUGCGCCCUAACAAAUUUAUGACCCAAAUGUCUUUGAUUGUGGAGACUAAAGAAAUUAGGUGGUAAAUUGAAAAUUCAAAUCCCUUUGUAAGAUUUUAUAAGUUUAGGUGUUUUUUAUUUGCCAUAUUGGAAGUUUUGAUCCUAUUCAAUUCAACAAAUAUAUCUAUGCUUUUGAAGUUUGCGAGUCUCGCUUAAGUACAAAAAGUAUUGAUACUUUCCGACUGAAAUUUUGUCUGAUCUUUCUUGCUCGUAAUCUAAAUUUGGUAUCUCUAAAGGUAUCGGUCUAUCGGAUAAGGUUUUGAAUUUGGUUGAAUGUUUUUCAGUCUAGCUUCUAGGUCAUGAAUAAUAAAACACCUAAGAACACCAAACAGCUGCUUGGCUUGCUUAAACUCCUGAAACAGGCGAAGAAAUAGGAUUUUGUUUUCGCUUGCGACAAGCCAAUAACAUACAUUUACCACAACAAUAAGUCCUUUCCUAACAACAGAAAUUCCUAUUGAAAGUAAUUUUACGACAAAAAUAUAAAUAUUGCUAUUGAAAAAAAGGGACUGAAAAAAUGAAAAGAUUCGCAAGAAAAAACGACAAGAAAGUGUUCACCUUGUCAUACAAGCACAAUUUAUAGCGUUAUUGUCGCAACUAGACAAGAUACACUCAAACUAAAGAAAUAAUCGGAGAACUGAGCUUCUUCUAAAUAUGAACAGGUGAAAGGGAAAGAUUCAUUAUUCAUAGCAAACACAAAAUUCUCAAGAAAAUUUACUUAUGGUUAUGAAUUUUGUUCAAAUAUUUGCUUAACUGGAAAAGGGUCUCAUCAAUUCAUGACGGCUUUAUUAUUUUAUCAGAUUUAGAAAGCCAUGGUACUCUUUGAAAUCACCCGUAUGCCGAUCCUGGUAGCACAUUUAAUCAAUCACAAUUGUUCCCAGCCAUCGCUCACGCGAUUGUAAAUGGAAAAAGUGAUUUAUUAAAUUCAUAGCACUUUAAAAACCUCCUUUUUGUCUAAAUCUCAGGUAAUCUAAAACUCUUGGAAAAUUUUUUCUUGAUUAUCCUUCCGCGAAUAAAACAUUUGUUUCUAGGGUGUUUUGAGCUAGUUGCCUGAUCAAAUCAAAAGGAAAAAUGCGCGCGCUUAGUGUCGAGUGUAAAACCGCUUACCGUAACAUUCAGGCCAAAGCUGCCGUUCAGUUUAGGGAUCUCGAUGGGAAUAAAAUCCUGUUAUACAUCGAGAAUCACGAUUAGUAAGAAAGCUAGAGAGACAGUACUAACAUGAACAUCCAGCAUGUAUAACAUUGUUCUUCAAUAAAGAUGAUGAAUAAAAA